AUCUACUGUGGCUGAAAGACCCCUGGAGUGGGGAGACCCUCACUCAAGUCUCGGGAUGACGUGACCCCCCAAGAACUCAGGUAAGA
rnacentral:pre_miRNA from 14 species